UACGUAGGGUGCGAGCGUUAAUCGGAAUUACUGAGCGUAAAGCGUGCGCAGGCGGUUUUGUAAGUCAGAUGUGAAAUCCCCGGGCUUAACCUGGGAACUGCAUUGGUGACUGCAUUGCUGGAGUAUGGCAGAGGGGGGUGGAAUUCCACGUGUAGCAGUGAAAUGCGUAGAGAUGUGGAGGAACACCGAUGGCGAAGGCAGCCCCCUGGGCCAAUACUGACGCUCAUGCACGAAAGCGUGGGGAGCAAACAGG
rnacentral:rRNA from 1 species